rnacentral:lncRNA from 1 species
AAUUUAAAGUGAUCUUACUUCAUUUUAUAGUUCUAACUGCUAGACUCUGGAUGGCUUCCUCCGUUCACCUUCUACCCAGAGAAGUAGACUUGGUAUGUAGAGGGACAAAGUCCUGUCCCUUUAUCUGGGCCGUGGAUACUUAAUGAAACAGUACUAGUCAGAAAUUCUUACAUGCAGCCAAAGAAAGUCUAGUCCUGUCUCUGGCUCUAAGGAAGCUUCAUUAGAUCCAUGAUGGCUAGUAGCUGAUGGUUUUGAUUGUGUAGGCACUCAGCCUGCAUUUGGGAGAUUCAGAGUGUGUCUUACCUUCCUUGAGAGUUAAGAAGGGCAGUGAUGGAACUCAGGGCUGGUGCACCUUCUGCCCUCAGCAUAAGUCUAAGGCAGUCACACAGUCUGGAGGGGGUGAAGGAAGCUGUUGGCAGGAGAUGGCUCAUGAGGCACAAGGGCACCUUGAAAACUCCAGGGCUCUGAGCCCACUUCCUGGUGGCCAUGCCUGCAUCAGGAACUGCUCAGAACGGACUCUGAAAGCCGUGCUCUCUGAUGGACCAAAAGGCAACAGUUGACAGAGUUGUCCAAAAUGGAUCCUCAUCUUUCUCUUUGAGCAACUGGACCUUGAGAGAAGCAGGUGGAAGGAAACAGUCUUGUUUGGUGCCACUCUCAAUCACCACACAAAUUCUUACCCCAAUUCCUGCUCUGGAUCAUAUAGAACGACAAGGCUGUGCUUUGUGGCAGGGCUAAGUCCCAGGGCACUGGGAAAACUAUAGAUUCUGAUGCAGGGAUGGGGGAGGGGCCUGAGAUGCAGUUGUCUUAUGAGAUACUAAGUGAUGUUGAAGCAGUCUCUGAACUCUCAGCCCAUGAGACACAGACACACAAGAAAAACAUCUUUUGGGAUUUUCUAACACACAUGACAGACUUUAAGGCGGGAGAGCCAGAUCCAAGGACACAUGUGUGAAGAAACUGGCAAAUACUGAGGAGUUUUAUGCCCUUGCAUGGGGUGGAACUGUUAAGCCAAAAAUUUGCUAGGCAGAAAGGGAGGGCUGGUACCCUCCAAUAAUCCCCUUCAUGAGGCAUGGUGCAGAAUUGCAUUGGUGAUGCUUCUGCAUACAGCAGUCCUCAGGAGUAGCUAUGUCCUGAAAAAAAAAAAAAAGGAGUGAUCAAGAAAAAAGAAAAUAAAGAUCUGUGUCUGCUAUAAUUUUGAGGAAGAAGACUCCGUGAGGUCUCAGGCCAGUAGCAUCCAUGGCUAUCACCUAUGAAGGAACACUAAGAUAAGCAUGGCCUUAAAACUCCCAAGAUGGUCAGUUAAAAAAAUAACAAGUGCGUAUCUGGCUAUCAGUAUGUCCUGAUGUCUGGCAGAAGCAGUUUCCAUCCUCUGGGUAGGAAUGUGCCUUCAAGCUAGCUCAAUAGAACCCCCAACCCUAGAGUCUCACAAUGAAAAGCACACAAAGACACAUCACCCUCAGCCAGCUAGGACAGAAAUAGCACACCAUUGUGAUGGGGAGAUAGGUUGGUGGGAUAAGAUACCCCCACUAUGUUCAUAGCAGCCAUAUGUAUAAUAGCCAGAACCUGCAAACAACCCAGAAGUCCCUCAAGAGAGGAAUGGAUACAGAAAAUGUGAUUCAUUUACACAGUGGAAUACUAUUCAGCUAUUAAAAAUGAGGACAUCAUGAAUUUUGCAUGCAAACGGAUGGAACUAGAAAAUAUCAUCCUGAGUGAAGUAACUCAGACCCAAAGGACAUGUAUGGUAUGUACUUACGGAUAAGUGGAUAUUAGCCAAAAUGUACAGAAAACCUAGUAUACAACCCACGGACCGUAAGAAGUGUAACAUGCAGAAAGGCCCAAGUGAGGCUGCUUCAAUCCCACAUGGAAGGGGGAAUGAAAUAAUCAUGGGAGGCAGAG